AGCUAAGGAAGCUGAACUACCCGUGUGAUUCUCUGCAGACUGCGUGCACUGCGAUAGCCAAAACUCAUGAAUGUUCUUACUUUGCAGUAUUUCGUUGUGCCUUGUAAAAGCCGUGGUGAGUGGGUACCUCAAUAAUACUAAGGGAUCCUGGGUUUUGUUUUGCAGCAGUCAUCAUCUGUGACUUCCAUCUAGGCUGGCUUAUCUUACCUGGAGGGUGAAGCCUACCCUGGAAGCCUUGAUGAGAAAGGAUAGCUCUCACCUCCUCCGAUGAAUCAGGUCAGGUCUCUAGCCCUUCUUUCAUACGGUACAUCCUGGCACACUUCCUGCCCUUGGAAAAGAUUAUUUCAAUACCUGUGAAUAUAUGCAGUACGAUAGACCUCCUUAGACUUGCUUCUGCCCAUAUGGAAAACUGAGCUCUGAAUAUUUCUCUGGGAACCUCAAACGUGGAGAGUUCGCACAGUGAACAGAGAAUGUCUUCCUGCCCCUGAAAGAAAAAAGGAGUUGACUGAGGCAGAGCCACUGUUACAGGCUGAGAAUCAGCUCUACAUGGCUCAGAAGUGAAAGGGAGAAAUGAAACCAAAGCCUCCUCCAGCAUAUCUCAUCCUAACUCUCUUAUCCCUUUUCAGUACCAAACUGUAUUGUCUUAAUCUGGGAAUGUGAUUUAUUUGUGAAAUAUCUAGUGGGUGGCAGAGGUGGGGAGCAAAGCUGCACAAAGCUCCCCAGAGCUGCUGACCGAGGUAAAUAGUGUGUCAUAACACAUUUAUCAAAUAAUAAUGGAAACCAUAUAAAACAUAUAGGAGAGGGAGGGGGGAAACCCAUUCCCCUCUGGGAAGUUACUGAAUAUUUCAGCCAGUUUAUAAAAGUAUGUGUACAUGUGUUUGGAAGGGGGGAGGUUUUCCUAGCUUCACGUCUGUGAAUAAAUCAUUGGCCUGGGAUGUCUGAGCAGACAAGUGAAAUGGAUGAGUGCAUUACGGAUCAAGGAGGUGGUAUUCCUGCCUUGGUUAGUUUGAGAGAGACCACCUAAGCACUGUGGGACCAAGAUUAAACUGUAAGUUGUGCCUGUAGAGUUCUGAAAGGCUCAGGCUGCAGCCUCUGAAUAUGGUAGGAAGGUGGGGAAUAAAAUAAAACUGAUGGUAUUUCUCAAACAGAGGGCAUGUCUGAACUGGCUUUGUUGCUAAUAUUUUUUUUUUCCCGUGAAUUGGAUUGCAAGCAUAGAUAAAAUGAAAAAAAGAAAAGAAAGAAAUGGCAAAGGUGUAAUAGUUAUACCUAUUUUGGAAAUAAAUUGAUGUUUAGGUGCAAUUAAAAAAAAGGAAAAAGAGAUUAAUGAUGUACUAUGUAUAUUUUUCACUGUUUGCCACUAGUCAUUUUCAGAAUACAGAAGCUGAAGUCUGAAGCUCUCAUUGACAUUGAGAAGAAUCUUGCAUCAUAGAUGGUCUAUUGAAGUCAGUGGGAAUUACUUAUGGAAUGAGGUACCCAUUCCACAUAAAUAAGGCUUGCAGAAUUUGGAUGAGUGUUACCAAAAAAUACCAAGUUAAAAGGAGCCUGACAGAGACAGUAUCCUUAUAAAUAUAUGUAUAAUUACAACUUUAGAAUACUUGCAAGGGAGAAGGGGAUCUGAGUUUUGGAAUUAUAAGCUUUCACAGGAAAACCUCUUAGAGUGCAACUGAUCACCUUUUUAUAUUUACGCAUGGCAAUAGUGAUUGAAGGCUUAUCAGUCUACAUAUAGUAAUGAAUUAGAUGAAUUCUGGGGUGUAAGGAAAGCCAGUAGGAAUUAAAAGGUGAAAUAUGGAA